CUAAUUUUGAGAUCCAUAAUUGCAGUUAAUAUAACAUCUUUCUUGACAAGUAUUUCAUCCGAUAGGAAAUGUCGUUGUAACACUUCACAGUUGGAUGCCUCAUAUCUCGUAGAACAUUAUAUCUCUUAAUCCAUGUGUAUGAACCAUAUGGUUUUACUAGCCAGUGAGCUGUCUAAACGGUGAUUGUAAUUUAUAGUGUGUGUCUCCCGCCAAAUACAGCACACGGUUUGUUUGUGAAACAUUUACACAGCUAUUAUACUCUUGGAAUUCUUAAUGGAGGUCAUGGAAGGCAAUAUUGAGUAUGUAUAUUACGAAGAGGACGUUUCAAAGAAAUCCGAUAUAGGUUACCAAGAUGAUUUCGAUGAGAAGACUGACCAGGUGAACAAUCUAAACGAACUCAGAAGAUAGGCAACAUUUCCUGGUUCAGAGAAAAACUUAAACACCAGUAUUGUUUGUACAUGUUGUGAUAUACAAUUAUGACAACACCACUCAUUUGUUCUCCUGUUGGUGGAGAAAUAAAAGUUGACGUUGGAAAGGAAACUAAAUGCUCUUCAACAUUUAAAAAACUGUUAUAUACUAGUAUUAUAGUGCUUCUACAAGUAUGUGUGGGACUCUAAAUAACUCCAAUGAGUAUCAGCUAUUACAUGUAUUAGGAUAUGAUCAACAAUAUAUAUAUAUUUGAGGAUAAUAUUAACAAAUCCUAAAAGUGUAAAUGUUGUACAAAAUUGUCAAUUACAAUAUUCAGAAUAUCUUUAUUACUAUAAUAUUUUAAGAAGCGUAACAAAAUUUCCACUUAUGAUGAUUUUUCCAGACGCAUUAAGUCAAAUUCAAUUACGUUUGCAUCUUUCAGUAAGCAUUCCUAAUUUUAAUUGGACACAUAUGAAAAAAAGUAUUGCUGUUGUAUGUGUGUAUUUUAAGCUGACAGUAGCUACAAUUUAAAAUUUAUUUGAUGUG